rnacentral:SRP_RNA from 1 species
UCAAGGAAGCCAGGCGGCGAAGGCGCCGCCAACCCCGCCAGGCCCGAAAGGGAGCAACGGUAACGGUUGCUUUUGGGUGCCUGGUUUCCUUCAAAG